AUCAAAAGGUGGGCCCAAGGGGCCCACCGUGGCUUCCCCCCUGCUCCCCUCGGGUUCGCCCGCCCUCCCUCUCCGGUUGUAGACCCGCUCGGGUCUGGGCGGAUGGACCGGGUGAACCGGUCCAUCAGUUUUCACAUAGAACUCCAACUUCCAUUCAAGGUUGACAUCAAGCUCAAGGUGCUGAUAUAUAACGAGAUUGUAGACUUUGAGAAGUUCAAUGGCUGAUUCAAGCAUCUUGCUAUUUUUCUUUAUAAGGUACAACCAUGUUAAGAAGAUAAACUUCACCAAGUUGAAGUUAUCUGGCCACAUGAUAUAACGUGGAAAGUGGAAAUAAGGAGCUAUUUUUUUAGUAAGGAUGACUAGGAGUAAAUUCAAAUUCGCUCUAAAGAAGGAAUUCUCUCCAUCGACCAAAAGCGAGUUAUCUCUAUUCAAUGGUAGAGGAUGAGACUCCAACAGCUGAUAGAAAAGGGCACCUGCUAUCGCCCCUCCUUCCCAUCUCUUAGUUUUCUUCAUAAAUUGAAAAUCACCAGACAAGGGAGCGGCCCACGCAACGAGAUUUCAUCUUUGAAAAGAUUCAGUUAAUAGAAAUCUCUUCAGGGCCGUGAAUUAAAUGUUUGGACAGCAAAUUGCAAUCGUUGGGAGAGUAAAUUCAACAAAGAGAAGAAAGAAGGAAAACAGAUCUAUCUGCAGGCUUGUCAAUAAUUCCCCGCCUCUUGCAUCCAAUACUUGGAUCGUUUGGCCAAUCUUUGGUUAAUUGAAUUAUUGGGUUUUGGAUAAAAUACUAGCUCAUAAUCAUAGAUUGUUAAGCUUGAAGUCUACUUGUUAGCUUAAACUCUGCUCAGACCUAGUUUGUUUUGUAAUUCUGCUCUUUGUCAAUGCCGUUAUGUCCUUGGUUUCUACUUGUUUUUGUUUCUGGCAGUAGAUGUCAUAGUUGGCACUGAGUAAUUUGUUUUGGACGUAGAAAUGAGUUGCCUGUAUUGUAUAUGAAACAACAAUAAUAAGGUCUUGUCACGUUCC